CAAGACCACUGUCCUUCCCAGGAGUAAUAGGAGUAAGUAAGUCAGACCGUGACGGGUGGCCUAAUGGGAACAAGUACAGACUUGCACACGGUAGGCCAUCCUCAGAGAGCCAGCUAAGAGGAGCAGGACAAGGAUCUGAAAACUCCUUCAAGUCAAGAGUGAGCGAAUGGCAAUGACAAGACGGAAGCUGUGUGUAUUUCAUGGCCAAGGGCAUGCUGCCAGUGUCUUGUUUGACCUGCUCUAAACAGAAUAUGCCUGUCGUUCUCCCUUUCUGUCCCUUUCCCCUAUGUUCCAUGCUCAUAGCCGUCUCCCCUCCCCUAUAAAAGGGAUAUCUGAGGGAGGAUAAGCACUACAGGGCGGUUACAGACUCCAGCAACCCCAGCAGUCAUCCCUGCAGUGUACACAGAGAAAAUGAGAUGAUCCUGCCCUUUGCAGAACAUGUGCUAUGAUGUGUGGAAGCUGCAUCCUCUUAUCACUUAAGAUCCAUUGUGACGCGCAGGAGUCCUGUGUAGGGUUCAGUGUGAGUACUUGUCCACAGACAGCCUAGAGACUCGCUGCCCAUUCACUCUUCUGUGAGGACUACUACUAGUCCUUAGACUGCCUCAGCACUGCUUUAGCAUUUAGUGGUUCAAGGGGACAGCAGAUGACCCAGCAAAAUGUUCCAGCACCACCACCUGGUUUCCCACACCCAUGGUGCAAUCUAUCAUCAGUGGAUGGAGAGAGCAUUCUUCAAAGAGCUUUGUGUUCGAAUCUCCACCUCUGAUCUUCCCGUGUCAUCCUCCCAAGCUCCGACCGAAGGUCAGAGUAAAGAGAGACUGACAUCUUACGGUUUCCUUGCUCUACCUUCAGUAAGACGCUCUGAGUCAAUGUCUAAGGUCAGGUCAGCGCUACCUCGGGUGUAGAAUUAGAACUACACAAGAGUCUGGCUAAAUGCAGCGUGCCUAGAAGUAGGCCGGCUGCGGGAAGGCAAAGGUGGGAGAGUGGUACCCGAGGGGAACGCAGGCUCCAUUCUUCGCAGGCACAUUCAGUUCUUGUGUAAGGACCCACUAAGUAUGUGCACCGAAAUCUGAUUUAAAGCUCUCCCUGGUCACACUAUCUAUGGCCUGACUUCUCCCUGUUUGUCUUGUCAUCUGCUUUUCUCACAGGGGUGGGGCCUUUCAGGGGAGGGGGCAUGGAACUGCCAAGCUGAGGAGAAUGGAUUGGUGCUGUUUUUCUAGCCAGGAUUGCAAGCAUCUGUAUUCUAGUCUGGAAAGAACAAGACAGACAGGGCUCGUUCUCCGAAACAUUUCUUAAGAAUAACAGUGUUGCAAGGGUGCGAGGAGACUUGAUUAUUUGUCAUAACUUCCAAAUACUGUAGGCUCAGAGCGCAGAUCCUGACCUCCAACAGUGUUCUCUUGGCCUUUAACAGAAGCACCUUCCUCAUCCCAUGUUCAGCAGGUUGCAGUGUGGGGCUCUCAGGCUAUACCCCAGAGGCUUAUCAGAACAUCUUCUUAACUCUGUGGGUAGCAGGUUCAUCCUCCACCCUUUUUAUUGACAGGGAUGCAUGCCCCUUGCACAUUCAGAUGGUGGGUUCCUUUCUCUUUGUCUUGUCCUAUAAAGGCACUUGCCUUACUUGAAACUCAUGGAAAGCUUCUGUCUGAGGGUUUCGUAAGUGUGAGGUCAAGCACUAGACUUUGGAGCCCUGAAGGGUGAGAAAGAUGGUUUAACAAAGGAAGUACAAGCCACUGUGUCCUCAGGGCCUUACAGUCUGUAAGUUUAUAGUUUGCCUGAUUUGGAAGGCUGAGUAAACACAGACACACCUUUUCAAGAAAGAAUACAAACUCAUUAGCACAUAGUUCAGAAUGAAGCUGAAGUGUGGGGGAAAGGGCAGAGGUGGAAAUGUGUCAGGGAUGAUGUCGCCUUUAUCUGUAUAUGUGACUCCCUUGGGUUUUUAAAUUCACUUAUUUAAAAUAAAUUCUGUGGAUUUUGCUUCUGUGCUUUGACUGGGAACUCCCAGGACUCAAUAAUAUAUUUGUGUGUCUCUG
rnacentral:lncRNA from 1 species